rnacentral:lncRNA from 1 species
AAUGCCAUAACAAACACAAAACAGGUUAGAGCAAAUAGGAUAGGGUAAUCAAGAGUUGCCCCCAAAUCAAAAUGUAACCACAUGAACCAUGCCAUUAAAAUUCACAAAAAGCUCAGAAAAAGCAACCAAGGGUAGGAGGCCUAAACCUCUUGUCAAACACAUGCAUCAAAAGGAUAUCAAAUUCACCCAUAAUACCUCAUACAUUCAGAGCAUUCAAAUUAAAAGCAUAAAGUAAUGGGAAUAAAAGCAACCAAGGGUAGGAGGCCUAAACCUCUUGUCAAACACAUGCAUCAAAAGGAUAUCAAAUUCACCCAUAAUACCUCAUACAUUCAGAGCAUUCAAAUU